UACGUAGGGUGCAAGCGUUGUCCGGAAUUAUUGGGCGUAAAGAGCUCGUAGGCGGCUCAGUAAGUCGGAUGUGAAAACUCGGGGCUCAACCCCGAGACGCCAUCCGAUACUGCUGUGGCUUGAGUCUGGUAGGGGAGCACGGAAUUCCUGGUGUAGCGGUGAAAUGCGCAGAUAUCAGGAGGAAUACCAGUGGCGAAGGCGGCGACCUGGGCCAAUACUGACGCUGAGGUGCGAAAGCGUGGGGAGCAAACAGG
rnacentral:rRNA from 1 species